ensembl:snRNA U6 U6 spliceosomal RNA
GUGCUCACUUGGGCCGCACAUAUAUGGAAAUUAGAACGAUACAGAGAAAAUGAGUAUGGCCCCUGCACAAGGAUGACACACCAAUUCAUGAUGAAUCAGCCUUGCAGCUUUUU